GGGGAGAGUUCUAUGGAAGAGACCAAUGGAGUCCAGAUGCCAAGCAAUGAACUCUAAGCAGACUGCACGGAUUCUUCUAAAGCACAUUUGAAGAACUGCGCUUGCAGUUAAUUUGGCCCCAAAAAAAUUGGAGUGCUUCCAGACAUUCCAAAAGCAGCAUGCUGCUGCUGUAAGUUUUUAACUCUCUUAGAAAAGGUUAAUCCAGAGUGAGGCUUGACGUCGGUGGCAUAGAGGGAAAUGAACAAGAAAAUGAAGGCAAGAUAUCUACAUCAAAUCUUAAUCAUCAGGAUCCAUUUCCUCAUCCUGUUCCAGGGAUGGAAUUGCAUCAGCUCCAUUGUAUCCUUCGGAUUCUGACUGCCCCUCUAAAUCAGUCUCAUCUUCUUGAGAAUCAACUUCAUCAGCAUUAGCCUCUUGAGUUCUUAGUUGUUGCAUCCAUUUGGGGCACUCGUCCUGCCCUUCAAACAACAGAUGGAGAUUGUUGUUCUUUCCUGAAUGCACAAUAUCAGUAGCCUUGACAGUUGAACAUGAGCAUUCUGGAAUAGGGUGAGAGAGGAAAAACUUUGUUUUUGAUAGAUUAGAUUCCUUCAAAAGGCCCUCUUCUGCCAGGCUUUUGUUGAGAUGUUCUCUGACAGCAAAAGUCCAAUUACGAGGUGGAUAAUAAAGAUGAUCGACGGUAGUAUUAAAGAGCUCUGCAAGAUAUUUCCUGUUUGGCCGAAAUGUUCUUGCAGAUGCCAUCUCAUAAAGUCGGUGUCCCAUCACCAAGCUAGCAAAAUCAGGCCCACUACCAUCAUUGUCAAAACCAGGGAAAAAAACUUCAGCGUCCACCGAAACUAUGUAAUCAAGAGCAUCCCAUAGCAGUCGGUGUGCUUGCUCCCUCUGAUCAUUGAGAGAAGGUUCUGGUUCCUUAUCUUUCUCUGCAACCCACCCAUACCAGCCUUCUUUUUCAUGUCGAUAAAUAGGUCGAUCAGGAGGAGGUGGUAGAGGCCUUGGGCGGGGCCCAGACUUGUCCCAUUCUGAUUUUAGUUGAUUUGGACUUUUUACUGGUAAAAGCUGAUCAGGAUCAGGAAUAAGGGGGGUUUCAGGGCCAACUAAAUUAGCUAGCUCUGUUUUGCUGCACAAUGAAGUACGAUCAACUAAAUUGGUGUACAUGGCGCGUAAAGGUAUCAUAACCCGUUG
rnacentral:misc_RNA from 1 species